GGCAAACCGUGCAUAAGCCGCUCUGGGGCUCACCACUGAACACGGGCAACCUUGUGAGACUGCACGCCUAUGCGCUGUGACCUGCGGCCAGAGAGGAGCGGCCAAGUGCAGAAGUGGAAGAAAAAGAGAAAAGAGACCACCUUCCCUUGGCCAAGAUUCUUAGAGUGAGAGCAAGAGGCUCUGAUGAAGCAAUAGUUGAGCUCUCAGCUACUAACCAGAAGGUCAGUGGUUCAAAUGCACCAACUGCGCCAUGGAAGAAACAUGUGAGUCUUGUUGCUGUAAAGAUUUAUGACCUUGGAAACCCGCUGGUGGUGACCUACCCUGUCAUUGGGUCUUCAUGCGUCAGGAUCAACUCAGCAGCAACAGGUUUCCGCAUCCCAGGACCCGCUGACCUAACACAGACAAGGCGCACAUCCUGAAAGUCUCCACUGCUCUUCCUGCAGUCAGGGAUGGAGCAGUCUAAUGCUGCCCCACGCCCACCUCAGCAUUACAUGUGUAGACUUUCAGUGAGGCCCCUGGGUGAGUCACCCCCAGCCAGUUCAGAUGGGGUGUCAAGUGCUGUCCCUGAGACAGACGUCUGCAGUCGGGAUUCCUCAGGAACUUGGCGACUCUGCUCCCCUCACUGGUCUGGUGUGCUCCCCUCUUGGUUUGCCCCCAUGUGGCUGGGUCAGACCAGCGACUCGCCCAGAACGGUAUCUCCAGGCCUGUCCUCUGCAGCUCUGGCAUCAGCUGUGAUCUUAUGGGGACUGGUGACCACUGUUUCCUUCGCAGAGAACAGCUAGUGGAUUCAACCCAACGAUGUCCAACAACUUUCUGUUAGCAGCCCAGGACUGCACCCUCGUGCCACUAUGACUCCUUCACAGCGUUAUUACAAGGAUUAAUAAGGCAUUACCUUAUUUCUCCAGUCAGUCGUUUGUGGGUUUAUAUCCACAGUGCCUGAGAUAUACUCUUACCUUGUUCACUUGUUCUUAUACAGUGAACCCUAGUACUCCACCCAUCAGCACCCGACACAAUCGGAUUUCAACACAAAAUGUUGAGAAAAUUUUGCAUCAGAGCUUGAAGAAUGCAGGGGAAUCUGACGCGACCGACUCACGUGAUAUUUGUAAACAAAAGCGGUUCGUAUUUCCUUCGCUCAGUAUUACUUGGUGUUAUCAGUAUGAGUUGUUUAAACCUUUUGCAGCUGUGUUCCAAGCGUUUUGCUAUAACUUUCUUGGUUUUUUGUGGA